CCGUUGCCGGCGACCGGCGCACGGGUGAGUAACACGUAUGCAACCUGCCCGUGGCAGGGGGAUAAGCGGGGAAACCCGUCUAAUACCGCGUAACGCGGCCUUGGGGCAUCCCAAGGCCGCCAAAGGGAGCAAUCCCGGCCACGGAUGGGCAUGCGGCGCAUUAGCUAGUCGGCGGGGUAACGGCCCACCGAGGCGACGAUGCGUAGGGGUUCUGAGAGGAAGGCCCCCCACACUGGUACUGAGACACGGACCAGACUCCUACGGAAGGCAGCAG
rnacentral:rRNA from 1 species